GAUGAACGCUGGCGGCGUGCCUAAUACAUGCAAGUCGAGCGAACUGAUUAGAAGCUUGCUUCUAUGACGUUAGCGGCGGACGGGUGAGUAACACGUGGGCAACCUGCCUGUAAGACUGGGAUAACUUCGGGAAACCGAAGCUAAUACCGGAUAGGACCUUCUCCUUCAUGGGAGAUGAUUGAAAGAUGGUUUCGGCUAUCACUUACAGAUGGGCCCGCGGUGCAUUAGCUAGUUGGUGAGGUAACGGAUCACCAAGGCAACGAUGCAUAGCCGACCUGAGAGGGUGAUCGGCCACACUGGGACUGAGACACGGCCCAGACUCCUACGGGAGGCAGCAGUAGGGAAUCUUCCGCAAUGGACGAAAGUCUGACAGAGCAACGCCGCGUGAGUGAUGAAGGCUUUCUGGUCGUAAAACUCUGUUGUUAGGGAAGAACAAGUACAAGAGUAACUGCUUGUACCUUGACGGUACCUAACCAGAAAGCCACGGCUAACUACGUGCCAGCAGCCGCGGUAA
rnacentral:rRNA from 1 species